AAUGCAGUAAAGCAGUGCAGGAUGAGAACCCCUGGUUCGAGCCGAGCGAAGCGAGACGACAACGCGUAAGCGUUGCCCGCAGGGCGAGGUGAAACCGAGUCAAUCCAGCACGGCCCACCA
rfam:Rahnella aquatilis CIP 78.65 = ATCC 33071, complete genome.